rnacentral:SRP_RNA from 1 species
GCAGGCACAGCGAUGUGCACCUUUAGUCCCAGCUACUCGAGAGGCUGAGGCAGGAGGAUCGCUUGAGACCAGGAGUUCUGGGCUGCAGUGUGCUCUGCUCUUCAGGUACCUGCACCAAGUUCAGCAUCAAUAAUGAUGACCUCCCAGGAGCAGGGGAUCCCCAGGUUGCCUAAGAAGGGGUGAACUGGCCCAGGUCAGAAAGAGAGCGGCUGAAAACUCCCAAGCUGAUUGAUCAGUAGUGGGAUCGUGCCUGUGAAUAGCCACUGCACUCCUGCCUAGGCCACAGAGACCCUGUCUCU